GUGUCAGCAGCCGCGCGGUAAUACGGAGGGUGCAAGCGUUACUCGGAAUCACUGGGCGUAAAGCGCGCGCAGGCGGCUAGAUAAGUUGGAAGUGAAAUCCUAUGGCUCAACCAUAGAACUGCUUCCAAAACUGUUUAGCUAGAGUCUGGGAGGGGAAGAUGGAAUUGGUAGUGUAGGGGUAAAAUCCGUAGAGAUUACUAGGAAUACCAAAAGCGAAGGCGAUCUUCUGGAACAGUACUGACGCUGAGGCGCGAAAGCGUGGGGAGCAAACAGGAUUAGAUACCCUGGUAGUCCACGCCCUAAACGAUGAAUGUUAGUCGUCGGGACUCUAGUAGUUUCGGUGAUGCAGUUAACACAUUAAACAUUCCGCCUGGGGAGUACGGUCGCAAGAUUAAAACUCAAAGGAAUAGACGGGGACCCGCACAAGUGGUGGAGCAUGUGGUUUAAUUCGAAGAUACGCGAAGAACCUUACCUAGCCUUGACAUAUUUUAGAACUCCGCAGAGAUGUAGAGGUGCCUUCGGGAGCUAAUAUACAGGUGCUGCACGGCUGUCGUCAGCUCGUGUCGUGAGAUGUUGGGUUAAGUCCCGCAACGAGCGCAACCCUCGUUCUUAGUUACUAACGGUUCGGCCGAGGACUCUAAGAAGACUGCCUUCGUAAGGAGGAGGAAGGUGAGGACGACGUCAAGUCAUCAUGGCCCUUACGGCUAGGGCAACACACGUGCUACAAUGGUUAGGACAAUGAGACGCAAUACCGCGAGGUGGAGCAAAUCUAUAAACCUAAUCUCAGUUCGGAUUGUAGUCUGCAACUCGACUACAUGAAGCUGGAAUCACUAGUAAUCGUAGAUCAGCUAUGCUACGG
rnacentral:rRNA from 1 species